CUUUGCUUUUAAGAGAUUUUUAAAAAAAAGUUCAUCCAAUACACUAAGUCUUCAAUAACAACCCAAAGCCAACAAACAUUUGUCCUCGGCAGGUAAGAAACCCUAAAUCUAUGCCCCCAAAUGAAAUCAAAGAAACACUGAACAACUUUGAACGGGGAGACACUCGGAUACUAAAACCUUCUUUUUUUUGGGAAGCCAUGAAAAGGGUUUUGUUUAGAGGCAUUUCACUCACCACUCACAAUUUUCUUCACUCUUGUACCAAAACCAGCCAAAACCCAGUUCACUCGUUCACCCCACUCGCCGCUUCGACUCGGUCUCGACUCAGGCUGCACUCAUCCGAAUCGGAUUCUCCCGUUGAAAAGAAGCCUGACCCUGUUACAGAAUCUGCUUCAGUAGCGGAAGGCCAUGUCGAGGAUGUUGCUUUGCCUGUUGUGCAUAUGAAUGAUAAAGUUGUUUGGUGCCAGAGCUGGAAGCCCGAAUCAAGAAGUACUCAGAAGGGAAUCUAGAGGCAAUCCUUCCAGUUCUUCACGCCAUUUUGCAGAGAAUGUUAGCUGGGAAGCAUGACGAGGCAGAUGAAUUGCGGAGAAAGCUGAAAACCCAUGGUUUUUGCAGAAAAUAAGUCUCAUUUAGAACCUCGGGUAAGAUUUUUUAGUUCGAGCUCGAUACGAAUUUUCAAUGUUUUUAUAUAAAGAAUGAGUUCCUGGUAAAAGGUUUGCAUUUCUUGUUAUUAGUAAAAUUCAAUUUUCAUUUAUUUAAUCUCCAAUUUCAUUUGUGAUUCGUUUUGAUUUUGUUGAUUUAAAUUUAUUAAAUAUUAUUUUCUUCAUUUAUGUUAUUCAUCUUUUAAUGGAAAAUUUUCAAUUUUGAUUUAUUUAAUAUCCAAUUGCAGUUUAGAAUGUCAUUUGUUUUGGUUUGGUUAUUUUAGAUUUGUCAAAUGUUUUGUAUAUAUUGGGGUACUAUUACAAGUUUAGAAAUUAAGUGAGUUGAUAUAAUAAUUAGGACUCAAACCUACUAACAUAAUUUUUCAAGUUCGGACCUAACAAUCGGGUCUUUGAUACAUCGACAAUUCUACUUUGAAUUAAGAAAGCCAAUAAUUAAAAAUUUCAAGAAUUCAAUCUUUAUAUAGAUUCGAAUUUUAAAAUUGGAUACACAAAUAAGAAAUUAAAUCAAAAGAAGGAAGUAUAUGAUAUGAUAUGACACAAAAUUUCUGUUUUUUAAACAAUAAAUCGGUGAACUUGUGGUCUUUUUUACAAUCUCAAUCUAGUAGUGUCGAAGAAACAAAGCUUAUUAUGAGAUAGAACCAGCGUUGCCGGAAAAUGGCUUUCGUCGAUGCCCGAUGAUCUCUAUCAACCCUUUUAAGCCGUGCCCUCACUUCUUCUUCUUCUUCCUUUCCUUCUCGUUCUCGCCUUACAGUUGCUCUCCUCAACAAAACCCCAGUUUUAUCCCCGAAGCAACCAAAAUCCUGACCCGAACCAAGACAUCCGGGUUCGGCUACUCGCCUUUAUAUUUGAAAGCCUUAUGAAGUCUACCUUGAUUUAUAUUCGAAAUGUUACUGAAUUAAUAUUUAUCCACUAUACAGAUAGGAAGGAAGCCUUAUGAAGUUAUGGUGGUAGACAGGUAGUUCGUAUACAAGCAAACUGGGAAGCCUGUCCAUACUCUCGAAGAAACUGGUGGUGCUAAAUGGUUUUUUGUCCUCAGUACAUCGAAGAUCUUGUAUUGGUGUGAAGAAAAAGGGUACAUUUCAAAAUUCGAGUUUCUUGGCAGGUGGUGCUACCAUUGCUGCUGGAAGAUUAGUUGUUGACAAUGGCGUCCUUAAGGCAGUUUGGCCACACAGUGGACAUUACCGUUCGUUAGAAGAAAACUUUAACGAAAGCUUUAACAACUUCAUUUCAUUUCUAAGGGAGAACAAUGUAGAUCUUAACAAUGUCAAGGUUAAAAAAGAUGACUCUGGUGGAUGAGGAAGGAAACUUGGCUGGCAAGCAAAGAAGCAGUAACCAUCUUAGAUGUAACUCGUCUGAAGAUGACUUUAACUUUGAGGCUGAGGAGAUCAAUGUCAAAGACUAGAUCGAUCAAAUACUAUAGUUGAUUCAUGGGGAACAUGAAGCCGAGUCAAGGAGGUUCCACAGCCUUAGCUGAAAACAAUGUAGCUUUUGUGCCUAGUUGUAAUAAAGAUAAUUCGAUGGAUUCCUCUUUGGUGGAUGGUUAUGCAAUAGAGGAGAAACCGUUAGUUCAGAACUGGAUUGGUAUGAAAAUCAUGCAGAUAAUGAGGUGGAAGACCCUUCCUGAUGAAUUGAUUCUUCAAAGGGUUAACUCUAAAAGAGGAUCCACAUGCAAGUGGACUACAGGAGCAGCCUAACAGAUCCCAGAUUGGUUGUACGAAGAAAAACCCUCGAAACUCCAAUUCUGUGCUUGGGAGUAACUGAAGAAUUGAGAACCUUGAAUUCAUCUGUGCUCAAGACGAACAUUUUGUGAAAGAGAAGCAUCCAUUCCUAGAGUGCAGUAUUAUAAAGGAACACUUGCAGCACAAGUACAUUCUCUGUUAGUUCAUUCUUUGGGGUGAAUAGAAAAGAUGAUAUAGGACUUGCUGUAUCAUUCUUUUAAAAAACCAGAUCUCUGUACACAUAUUUAAAAAAAAUCAUCUUGUACCAUACUCUUCUAAAAAAUUUGCUUAACUAUUUGAAUACAAUUGGUCAGGCAUUGAAAUGCAACAUUAUGGUACAUGUAAAAGGAAUUCAUAAAGAGAACUUUGGGUUGCUUUUUGACAUGCUAUAUAAAUUAUGUACAGUG